AUUGAACGCUGGCGGCAGGCCUAACACAUGCAAGUCGAGCGGAUGAAGGGAGCUUGCCCCUGGAUUCAGCGGCGGACGGGUGAGUAAUGCCUAGGAAUCUGCCUGGUAGUGGGGGAUAACGUCCGGAAACGGGCGCUAAUACCGCAUACGUCCUGAGGGAGAAAGUGGGGGAUCUUCGGACCCCACGCUAUCAGAUGAGCCUAGGUCGGAUUAGCUAGUUGGUGGGGUAAAGGCCUACCAAGGCGACCAUCCGUAACUGGUCUGAGAGGAUGAUCAGUCACACUGGAACGGAGACACGGUCCAGACUCCUACGGGAGGAAGCAGUGGGGAAUAUUGGACAAUGGGCGAAAGCCUGAUCCAGCCAUGCCGCGUGUGUGAAGAAGGUCUUCGGAUUGUAAAGCACUUUAAGUUGGGAGGAAGGGCAGUAAGUUAAUACCUUGCUGUAUUGACGUUACCAACAGAAUAGGCACCGGCUAACUUCGUG
rnacentral:rRNA from 1 species